UACGGGAGGCAGCAGUGGGGAAUAUUGCACAAUGGGCGAAAGCCUGAUGCAGCUAUGCCGCGUGUAUGAAGAAGGCCUUAGGGUUGUAAAGUACUUUCAUCGGGGAGGAAAAAACAAAACUAAUAAUUUUAUUUCUUGACGUUACCCGAAAAAGAAGCACCGGCUAACUCCGUGCCAGCAGCCGCGGUAAUACGGAGGGUGCUAGCGUUAAUCAGAAUUACUGGGCGUAAAGAGCACGUAGGUGGUUUUUUUAAAGUCAGAUGUGAAAUCCCUGGGCUUAACCUGGAACUGCAUUUUGAAACUGAAAUACUAGAGUAUCGUAGAGGGAGGUAGAAUUCUAGGUGUAGCGGUGAAAUGCGUAGAUAUCUGGAGGAAUACCUGUGGCGAAAGCGGCCUCCUAAACGAAUACUGACACUGAGGUGCGAAAGCGUGGGGAGCAAACAGGGAUUAGAUACC
rnacentral:rRNA from 1 species